CGUAGGUAGAACUCUCCAUUUUCAUUUCCAGAUUUAAUCCGAAAAGUAUUGAUGGUGUUGGCAUAAAUAGUUGUGGCCUGUAUCUGGAAGAUGUCUGAUGGCACAGACCUAUCAGAUCGGAUGCUCAUGUAUUUGUAGACUAUUGACUGGGGCAGUUCUCGGCACAUGGCAUUUGAGACUGGGCAAACACAUCGGCUGCAGAGACAAACAAAAGUAUUCAGCAGUUUGGCUUGGUAAGACCAGAAAAUCCUCACUUUCAAAAGUUCUGAUUUUUCUUACUUCUCUGGUGUUAGAAUGUAGGGAUCUUGACAAGGAUUUCGUGGAUAACAACGGAAGCCGCCAUGAUAAUUCCAACACAUUUCAUCCUCCCGGCAUUCAUUUGUGGUCUCACACUCAUUUAUAUCUGUAGAGAUGUAGGGUCAAAG
rnacentral:lncRNA from 1 species